rnacentral:rRNA from 1 species
UCGGGAAUUUUGGGCAAUGGGCGAAAGCCUGACCCAGCAACGCCGCGUGAGGGAUGAAGUAUUUCGGUAUGUAAACCUCGAAAGAAUGGGAAGAAUAAAUGACGGUACCAUUUAUAAGCUCCGGCUAACUACGUGCCAGCAGCCGCGGUAAUACGUAGGGAGCAAGCGUUGUUCGGAUUUACUGGGCGUAAAGGGCGCGUAGGCGGCGCGGUAAGUCACUUGUGAAAUCUCUGAGCUUAACUCAGAACGGCCAAGUGAUACUGCUGUGCUAGAGUGCGGAAGAGGCAACCGGAAUUCUUGGUGUAGCGGUGAAAUGCGUAGAUAUCAAGAGGAACACCUGAGGCGAAGGCGGGUUGCUGGGCCGACACUGACGCUGAUGCGUGAAAGCCAGGGGAGCAAACG